GGAACAAUUAUUGUCUGUUUGCGCAGGAACGACAGGCUGCUUGAGCGUUCUGCUACCGUUCAUCGAGACAAGGAUGAAAAAUCCUUUCAUAAAAAGGAGUGAGAAAAAGGAAAGCUGAUGUAGAAAAGGUGGAUAAUGGCUUGACUGUCAGUGACACCACAGCCCUAGUAACUUGCCCAACACUGGUGACGACACGCGACUGAGGCAGGCUAUAAAAAUGCCCUAAAAUGCUUUCUCAGGAAAAUAUAGUUAU